AGUGAGGUCGGAAAGGCACCGCGGGGCCAGCAUUAGGGCUGAGCUAGUUCUGUGGCCUCGGGUGGGACGUUCAAUCUCUCUGGGCCUCGCCAUUCUCUUUCUUUUUAUUGCUUUUUGUUUGUUUGUUUAAGACGGAGUCUCUCUGUCGCCCAGGCUAGAGUGCAGUGGCCCAAUCUCGGCUCACUGCAACGUUUGCCUCCUGGGUUCAAGCGAUUCUCCUGCCUCACCCUACCCAGUAGCUGGGACUACAGGUGCCCACUAUCACGUCCGGCUAAUUUUUGUAUUUUUAAUAGAGACGGGGUUUCACCAUUUUGGCCAGGCUGGUCUCGAACUCCUGACCUCAGGUGAUCCGCCCGCCUUUCCCUCCCAAAGUGCUGGAAUUACAGGCGUGAGCCACCGCGUCCGGCCUCAGUUCUUUUGAAGUCAUUUUACCAUCCUCUGGAUUUUCCUCAUCCUAAUUCUCCUUCCCAGUCUCCAGGAAAGACAGGCACAUUUUCUUGAUGACUUCAGCACUUGUAACCCCUUGUUGGCUCUCCUUAGAGGACAUUAACUCUGUGUGUUUGAACCUUUCAACUUCGAGGAUCUCCUCAGCCCAUCCUUAUUUGUUCACCCUUCUGGAUCAUGAAAUCUCCAAAUUUGUCUUUUGAACCCAGUGCCCAUAUCCACCCUCACCUGAACCCAUUCUUGAAUAAAAUGCAUUCCUACCAUGACUGUUCUCAAAGUUUGAAGUUGAGCAUACCGAUGCGCCACUCCUGCUUCAAUGCUUGAGAAGUCGUAGGCUUUCUUCUAUGUGCCUUUUGACUGGGCGCCUAUCUCCCGACAGCCUGAGGUGGUGUAGCAUAGGGGCGAAGGUGGUCUGUGCUUGAAUCCCAAAACCCUCACUAGCGUGGGACCUGUGCCAGUUACUUGACCUCUUUUUCAUUUCUUCACUAGUUUGUAAAACGGACACAAUUACAGCACAUCUUUUAUUGUUAUUAUUUGACACGAAGUCUCACUCUGUCACCCAUGCUGGAGUGCAGUGGCGUGAUCUUGGCUCACUGCAACCUCUGCCUCCUGGGUUCAAGCGAUUCUCGUGCCUCAGUCUCCCGAGUAGCUGGGAUUACAGGCACGCACCACCACGCCCGGCUAAUUUUUGUAUUUUUAGUAGAGACGGGGUUUCACCAUGCUGGCCAGGCUGGUCUCAAACUCCUGACCUCAGGUGAUCCAUCUAUCUCGGCCUCCGAAAGUGCAGGGAUUACAGGCAUGAGCCACCGCGCCCCGCCUACAGCACAUCUUAGCAGAAUUUUAGGGAUCAAAUGAGUUCCUUUGGAUACUGUGCCUGUUUUUGACUGAACGGCUGUCUUCUGACAUCCUGAGUGGCUUCUUUAGCUUAGUUGUCACCUCUUCUAUA
rnacentral:lncRNA from 1 species